rnacentral:rRNA from 1 species
AGAGUUUGAUCAUGGCUCAGGACGAACGCUGGCGGCGCGCCUAACACAUGCAAGUCGAACGAGCAAAGAGGAGUUUGCUUCUCUGAGCGAGUGGCGAACGGGUGAGUAACGCGUGAGGAACCUGCCUCAAAGAGGGGGACAACAGUUGGAAACGACUGCUAAUACCGCAUAAGCCCACGGGUCGGCAUCGACCAGAGGGAAAAGGAGCAAUCCGCUUUGAGAUGGCCUCGCGUCCGAUUAGCUAGUUGGUGAGGUAAUGGCCCACCAAGGCGACGAUCGGUAGCCGGACUGAGAGGUUGAACGGCCACCAUUGGGACUGAGACACGGCCCAGACUCCUACGGGAGGCAGCA